AGGGUUCGAUUCUGGCUCAGGAUGAACGCUGGCGGCGUGCUUAACACAUGCAAGUCGAACGGGAUCCCGGGGGUUCGCUUCCGGGUGAGAGUGGCGAACGGGUGAGUAAUGCGUGACCGACCUGCCCCAUACACCGGAAUAGCUCCUGGAAACGGGUGGUAAUGCCGGAUGCUCCGGUUGGAUGCAUGUCCUUCCGGGAAAGAUCCGUCGGUAUGGGAUGGGGUCGCGUCCUAUCAGCUUGAUGGCGGGGUAACGGCCCACCAUGGCUUCGACGGGUAGCCGGCCUGAGAGGGCGACCGGCCACAUUGGGACUGAGACACGGCCCAGACUCCUACGGGAGGCAGCAGUGGGGAAUAUUGCACAAUGGGCGCAAGCCUGAUGCAGCGACGCCGCGUGCGGGAUGGAGGCCUUCGGGUUGUAAACCGCUUUUGAUCGGGAGCAAGCCCUUCGGGGUGAGUGUACCUUUCGAAUAAGCACCGGCUAACUACGUGCCAGCAGCCGCGGUAAUACGUAGGGUGCAAGCGUUAUCCGGAAUUAUUGGGCGUAAAGGGCUCGUAGGCGGUUCGUCGCGUCCGGUGUGAAAGCCCAUCGCUUAACGGUGGGUCUGCGCCGGGUACGGGCGGGCUGGAGUGCGGUAGGGGAGACUGGAAUUCCCGGUGUAACGGUGGAAUGUGUAGAUAUCGGGAAGAACACCAAUGGCGAAGGCAGGUCUCUGGGCCGUCACUGACGCUGAGGAGCGAAAGCGUGGGGAGCGAACAGGAUUAGAUACCCUGGUAGUCCACGCCGUAAACG
rnacentral:rRNA from 1 species